UAGGAAAUACAACCCCCAACAUUCCCCUUGGGAGCUAAACUGGCAGAAGUAAUUUGCCAAAUCCUAAAGGUCACAGGUUGUCUGUGCUGUUUAUGUUGCUUAAAUGACAUUGAGAUUGUCACUGUUUUGCCAUAAAAUAUUAGAAAACUCACACACCCACAUCUAAAUAGAUUAUUUUCCAUUUAAUAGAAACUGAAAUGAUGACAUUGCCCAGUGAUGACAGUACCCACAUUAGCACACAUGUACAAGCAAAGGUCCUAUUUGAUUAUUGGAGAGACUACCACACCUUUCUGCUAAAUAUAUUAUUUAUGUUCUUUAUUAUACAGAUGCAGAAUCCCUCAGUGUUUUAGAUUUGCCCAGACUAAAAAUGGAUGAGUGUAUGUGAGUGUAAAUCUGAGUGAUUAUAGGACCCUGUUCCUGCUGGUUUUAUCACUGCAAUGCUGUGCAAGAGAUGCUUGGGGGGCUGAGCUGCCGCUCCGCUCUCCUGCUCUCUGGCUGGCAGGUAUAUGGGAUGAAGGAGAAAAGCUGACCGUAGAUUCCUAAUUAUUCUGGAAGGGUCUCAUGCAAUCACAUUGGAGAAUGGGUAGCUUUGUGCAUCUAAUGACCACAACUGAGCAGCCAGUAUGACACAAAUGAUCUUCUGUACAGUACUACAAGAAACUGUGUCAUACACUGCCUCCCUGGAUACAGAUUGGGAGUGCCUUUACCGACUGUAUGGAUGCUCGGGCAUCUAGAGGAGUGUCCUGUAUGCAGAAGAAGAUGUAAGGAAUGACAGAAAGGAAUAAUGAUUUCAGUUUUCUGAAUGGCGUUUUGCAGAAUACAAGCAGAAAGAAUGUUCUGCUAUCUACAGUAACAUAGUGUUGGUGGGAAUGUUCUACACAACAGAAAAAUGUUCUGUAGGAUAUUAUAAUACACUUCAAAAAAGAAUAACACCCUUUAGGAAAGAAUACCUAAAGGGGCAAUACCCUGACUGGGCAAUACUGUCUCUGAUAUAAGAGUGAUGCUUUGUGGGCCAGACAAACCCCUUGCUGCAGACCAUCGCAGAAGGCAUAGCUGUUUGUGACAAACAUUUGUCCGAAAUGUGACCUUUUUCUGGUACAAUAUCCCCUUUCUCUCCCCUUCAUCCCUUUGACCUCUAGUCCAUCCAUAUAUUCUGUCUAUUUUGAAGCAACCCUUGUCCUACUAUAUUAUCAUUUUUCUUGUCUCUCCCCUUUCCCUCUUUUGGUAAAUUUGCUCCUUUACAUUG